GCAACCAAAACAGCUGUUUGACAUAGCAACAGGGAUAUUCUGUCAAGGUGUCUCUCUAGCAUUUGUUCUUAAUACCGUUGUGGUUUUGAUCACUAAAAUGGCUGUGACUUUUGGACUCUCGUUGAGUGUUUCUUGGAUUUGCUGCCUGCUAAUUGGAGGGAUAACUUGUUUUACACUUAAAGGUAAUUCUUAUGGGCAUCCUGCCUACACUGGACCUGAACCAAUUGGAUCCUAUGCCCAAGCAAGUGUGGUGCGUAGUCCAAAUGCUAAAGCUUCUGGCCCCAAUGCCACGUCAGCAGAAGCUACUGGCCCCAAUGCCACGUCAGCAGAAGCUACUGGCCCCAAUGCCACGUCAGCAGAAGCUACUGGCCCCAAUGCCACGUCAGCAGAAGUUACUGGCCCCAAUGCCACGUCAGCAGUUACUGGCCCCAAUGCCACGUCAGCAGAAGCUACUGGCCACAAUGCCCCGUCAAGUGUGAAGUCUGGCCCCGGCGCCUCGGCAGACGCGUCCGGCGCCUCAGCAGAAGCGUCCGGCCCCGGCGCCUCAGCAGAAGCGUCCGGCCCCGGCGCCUCAGCAGAAGCGUCCGGCCCCGGCGCCUCAGCAGAAGCGUCCGGCCCCGGCGCCUCAGCAGAAGCGUCCGGCGCCUCAGCAGAAGCGUCCGGCGCCUCAGCAAUAGCGUCCGGCCCCGGCGCCUCAGCAGAAGCGUCAAGCCUUUAACAGACCGCCCGACCACUCAACUAGGGAGAUCAUAAUUUGGUUUGCAUAACUCCUUAAUUGUCGUUCCCCUGUUACUGUGCCUCCCUUUAGAAGAAAAGGUAACUGAGGUGGGGAAAUGUGCCAACUAAUGCUCUUGUUUGAAAUGAGGAUCUCCUUCACUUGUCCAGCGUCAUGCAAAUUGUUUACAGGGGUGGACGCUACAAUGGACUAAAAUUGACUUCUGACUUGCCAAUAUUGCUG
rnacentral:lncRNA from 1 species